AAAAAGACAAACCCUGCGUUUCCGUGUUCAACGACGUUUGACUGUUCGUCUUAUAUGAAUUUUUUUUUAAAUUAGUAUUUUCAUUGUUGUGAGAUGAUAAAACAUGAUUAAUACUUUAUGCGUGACUUUGUUUUUUUAAUUUUUUCCAUAAUUUUUUUAAAUAAGACGGACGGUCAAACGUUGGACAUGGAAACCCAGGGUUUGUCUUUUU
rfam:Oryza rufipogon genomic scaffold, chr05